AGAAAACUGACUAUUUGAUGCUCAUUUAAAAUGCAAGUAGAAAUUUAACUAUGCUACUAAUUUUUAAGUAUUUGGAGUUUAUGCUCUGAUUAAUAUCUCAUAAGUUUUGUAUGGUCUAGACCUAUUUUCCCUGGACAUGAUGUCUUUCCAAUGUGCAGUUUUACAAUAAAAUAAUUUUUUGAAUAUAUGUAUAUCAUGUUAUGUCAGAAAUGUUUACUUUUAUAUGUUGUCUACUUUACAUCUUAUCUGCCUCUAAUAAAUUAUAUUAUCAAAAGUGUAGUUGCAUUAUAUUUUUCCAGGUAGUCUUGGUUGACUGCCUCUGAAUUAGUGAGUUUGUGUUACUAGAAAGAUUGUUGCAUAUCAUUUCUUUAAUUCCAAAAAAUAUCACAAGCAUAAUGGAAAAUGGUGAUGCAAUUCUUUCUUUAUAGUAAUCUUUGGGUACAUUUUUCUUUAAUUUCUAAAUUAUUGUUUCAUUUUAUUUUGUUAAUAGUGUUGAAAUUGUAAUAGAGAAAAAAAACGGGGUAAAUAAUUCUGAACUUACAAACAUUCGUGUUGUACUACUGUAGGGUAUUUUGAAAAUAUACAUGUUUGGGACCUAACUCCAAGUUUUCUGAUUCAGUUUGCUGAUGCAAAUAAUCCAUAAUCAACCUAUAAAUCAAAAAUUGGGGUGAGUUUAUUAUGAGCCAGGGUGAGGAUUAUAACCCAGGAAGGCCUUAGAAUUUCUUCCAGAGAAGCAUCAGUUUCAGGACAGUCAUAUAUCUUUUUAGAACAAAGAAAGUACAUUAAACACAUGCUGAAUACAUUUUCAAAGAGGUAUUCAGUUGCAAAUUAUCAGGUUAACAUGACCAUGAUGUCAGGAAAGAGACUAAUCUGGGUGUUUCCAACAGGGUGUUACCAAUAGGGUGUAGGAAGGGAAGUAUGCAUUCUUUAUCUCACAAAGUGCAUUCUUUACUUUAAUGGAUAAGCAGAUGUACAAUGUAUGUUUGAUAGGCCAUAAGUCAGGCUUUCUAGUUCACGCUGUAUCAAUUUUGAACUUGAAUAGUUGCCCUAUGUACCUCAGUAUGUAAAAGUCUCCUGUCAUUUUCCCCUUUUGAUCAAUAUUCUUUCAAUAGAAAGCAUUGCUGAACAAAAUAUUGUCCCUUGGUGCCAGAGUGGUUGCUGCCUGCCCUGGGUCCAUCAUGUAUCUUGGUGCCAGGCUUUUAUUUGACUGAUUUGCCCAGUUAUCCACAGUGGGGGAAAUAGUCAGAUAUAGUGGACAAGUAUAGAGGUAUAUAUUAACAGGAGAAGUGUUUCAUAGACUAUGUAACUUUAUUUUUAGAUUAUCGCACAAACGUUACACAUGCGUUUUUACAUGACUUUCUAUAGUUACAUUGUUUAUAACAAUCAUAGAACAGGUAAUCCAAUACUUGAAAUGAUUAGCUUAAACAUCAAUUCUUAGGCUUAGUCUUAAUAAAAGGAGAUUUGCUCAGGGUUGUAGGAUUCAUCAACCAUCUCAAGUUGCUGAGAAAUCAUUACUCUAGCUUGCAUGCCAGUCAUACAACACUGAGGAAACAGUAAUUAGUUUGAAUAUUAUGACUAAUACAAGAAUUCCAAGGAAUAGUAGAAAUAGGAAUUGCAAUCCAGGUAGCAAAUGGAAACCAAUACUGGAAGGGAGCCAACCAAACAAAUCAAAACAAGGUAUAAGAUUGCUUAAGGCAUUCACCUGCUUUUUUUUAUGUGCUUUAGCAGAGACGACAUAUUGGAAGAUUCCUGAGGUAUAAAAACAAUAUUUAGUUUGAACGACUUAUGUGCACCACCAUGGAUGCUGUAAGAAUAUCUAAAGCCAUUCUAUUUUGAAGGACAACCUUUCUCAUUAAAGCCAUUUCAGUAUCUAAUAAGGCUAUUCCUGCAUGACUACUGUUAAGGGCUUCUGUAUGUGCUAUGACAUCCUCUAGCCCCAAAGGAGGAACAACUAUAGCUUGCUUCUCAGUGGUCACACCAGUGAAAUGUUGAAUGAGCCCAUCUGGCCUUAAAGAGAGGGAGAUUGACAACAGGUGUUAGCUCAGUGUGAAUCCUUCCUUGCAUCUAAGGGAAACUCAGGGUGCAGUGUUUUAGCCAUCCAGGCAGUAGCCAAGGCCAGAGACUUGUUCCAUGUAACUAUGGAGUUCCAUUAAUGAGCCACCCAAUAAAUACCUGACCUUCAAGACCAGUCUGUUCCAAAUCAGUCUCUUUCUUUAAGUAUGAUAGUAUUUUGAAACUUUAAAUAGAACAGUUAUAAAGUAGGUAUUACAGUUUAAGCAUAGGAAAGGUCUAAAUGUGGAGACACAAGAUUGGGAAUGCAGGCUUGGUUUGGGGUCUUGGCACAGCUGUCUACAACAGAUGCUGUCUUCUUCACAUCCUGGCAUGGUUCUUUCCAACAGGCUGCAAAAGUCUUUUAUUUGAUGUCUCCUUUGAUAAAUAAAUUCUCCAGGUUAUAGUCCAUUAUCCUUAAGGUCUGGGAGCUCUGUGGAAAGAAUCAGAUCAGGCCUUUCAUUUAAGUAUCUCAAUGGGACUCUGAUAGCAAUGUAACAUCUCCCUUAAGCAAGGUUGGUUUAUAUAUUUCCUCAUCUAAUUGCAUAAGACAUCCAGUUAUUAUCUCGAAAGGAGAGAGCCAAUGCUUACCAAAGGAUGUAGAUCUAAGAUUGAAGAGCUUUUGGACAUGAGAGACUAAAUGCUUCUGAAAGCAUUGCCAAUUAAGUUUUGAUUAUGCUGUUAGUCCUUUCCCCCAAUACUGAGGGUCAGGGAUAGUAAGUGCAGUGAAAAUGCUGCAUUUUUGGCCAAAUGUUACAAACAGAUUUAAAUAUUUAUCUGGUGAAAUGAGUUCUGUGGUCAGCGUUUAACUCAGUAGGAAUUCCUCGAAUAGGAAAUAUCCUUUUCAAUAAUAAUUUACCUAAAGCCACCACUCUUCUGAAGGAAAAGCCAUAAAACAUCAUGAGAACAUACAGAUCACUGCAAGAUAUUUAUCCUUGAGAUGAUAGCAUUUGGACAAAGUCCAAUUGCCAUACUUCAAAGGGACCCUUACGAAGGGGAAAGUGGCCUUGUGACUCAUGAGAUAGUUUCCCUUGAUUACAUUUUGAUCAUAUAACACAAUGAGUAUAGGUUUUAUGAGCUGCUGUGGGUGAAAUUUUCCAAAAGUAUUGUUUUGUCCCUUUUGUCGCCACCUUUACUUUUCUUCUGUGGUGAUUUCUUGAGCCUAUAGGAGGAAAUCUUUUAGAGUGCUAGCAGAGUAAAUAGAAAGUAGCAGUCAUUCUUGAGGCUAGACAGCAAAUCCAGCUUGAUAACAUCCUUGGUUAUAGUUUAAGUAAGAGCUAUCUGUAAACCAAUUAAAUAAUGGCAUGCAGUUGUGGUUUAUUCCCCUUGUGAUGUUGGAAGCAAGUUAACAAGGUUAAAAUAGUGAAUAAUCUUUGCCUACCAAUAUAAUCUAAGAAGGUUUAUAAUCAUUUACUUGACAAUGCUUCCCAUGCAAUUUAGCAUACCAAAAAAGCCUAAUUAGUAUGACUUCCUUUAUAGGAAGAGAGAACAAAUUUCUUUGAGGAGAAGUCUCAGGGGCCUCCUGAAAAUCCUCAGAGAAAUUCUUUCUUCUUGGUCAAAAGAAAGCCUUUGUUCAGGAUUUGAAAAUUUUGGGGGGGAAGAGGAGGAGCUGGUCAAAAAUAUCAAAAGAUUUUAAAGCACUUGCUCAAACAAGGUCAAGUGUGUGCUGAUCUUGUCGCUGUGAAACAGUCAAGGGAAAACAGAGCAUAUCACUUUUGAGAGAGAAAGCCAAAUCCUAAUUCUUGUACCAGCUUACUUUUUAUAUUAAAACUCAUUUACUUAAUUGGAUUUACUUUAAUUUUAGCCAACUUGACUAGGCAUAAAACUCUCAGACUUUCUCUUUCACAAACAUUCUAUAACUUUCUUUUUACAUUCAGAAUUUGUCCCAUGCAUUUAUCCGUCCCUUCUACUACUUUAUGACAAUUUUUUCUUAACCUAACAAACAAAAAUACUUCUUUAUACCUUCUUUACUGAAAAUAAAUUUUACUUUCCUUGUAUGCAGAGCUGCUUUCCUUAUCAAUUUUUAGUAGCUUUAAUUAUGUAUAUCACUUAGAACUUUUAACCCUUACAGACAUUAAUUUCUAAGUAAAAACUAAAUAAGCAAUUAUAAACUAAUUUUUACGUUAGGAUUUUGGGGCAAAUUUAAAAAUACAUUUUAUAAUUUCUAGAAACAUGUUGCCUUUGUAGUACAAUCUUCCAGUAAAAUACAAAAUAUAUUUAGUAGUAGACCCAAACAUUCUUUAGAUUCUCUGUAAUAAGAAACCAAAAGAAGACAACCUUGGAUACAUUUAGUAAUAAUGUUUCAGUAUUUUGUCUUAUUUGAAAAUAACCCAGAUACUCAAGAUUUUAUCAUUUAACUUAAUUUAGCAAAACUCUAAAGUUUACUUACCAAAAAGAAUUUGAGAGCUGUUUUUUUCAAGUAUUCAGACCACAAAACAUAAUUUUUCUACCUACAAAUUCUUAUCCAUGUUUAUCUAAAUCAUUUGUUUCCAACAAUUAUGUUCAGAUUACCCACAAAAACUUCAUGAGACAUUAGACAAAAUUAGCUAUCUUUUAAAGCUAUUAUUUUGCUGAUGAAUUUGUAACAGAUAACAAGAUUUUAUUUGACUAUGAAAGCCAGGCUGCAUGCCUGCAUCAUAUUCAAAUACUGACAAUUAUAAGGACAUGCCUAUUUCAAUCAAAACAACCUACUUAAGCAAGCUUUUGUUUACCAAAGAUUAAUUUGUCUCAAGUUAACUUGAAAGACAUUGAGUUAAUUUCUAAUACAUUUAGAAUUUAUGUAAGCACUUGUUUUAAGUCAAUUAAACAGAGUUAUUGAUUUUGGCCAUACCAUCCAGAGGUAAAAUAUCACACGUAUAUAACAUACAUUUACACACAUACACGGAAUCUCCACAGCUAUUCUUUUAAAAUUACUGCCAUGAAUCAGGUACAGUAAUAGAAAGCUCCCUAUUCCAAAUUUUGUUUUAAGCUGUUUUACUAAAAUCUGUGGAGAAGACAAUAAGGAUGCUAGAUUUGGGGCAAGGCAACUCUUAUGGUCAUUUUUCUGGCCUUUUCCUUUUUUUUUCAAUUCAGUUUUAGGAAUUGGUGAUGAGAUAGAUAGUUCCCACAGAGGCAAGGCCAUAAUCCUUCUUAAGAUAAAGGAACUGAGUGGAAUCUGAACUGCCUCUAGAACUGCUUUUCCAGUCUUACAGCAAUUUGUAAGUCUAGGACACCUGCCCAAACCCAUCACCCUAAUUUCUGUUUUUCCCUCUGGGUGCUUAAUUUUAAUUUAACUUAAGGAGGAAGGCCUGGGAAGAAAAUUCCUAUCAGACUCUGAAUAUCAGCUUCCAGUUUAGCCAAAUUUCUGAUCUUAAUUUGCUUAAAUCCUUUUGAAGACCUUGUCAAUUUCAGCCAGCACAAACAACAACUACAUGGCGGUAUUGAAUAGUUCCAGCAAUCUUUUGUGUAGCAGUUUCCCAGAGAAUCUCUCAGAGUCUCAUUUACUCAAAGAUUAUGGAGGUGUCUGUAAAGUCAUGCCUCAAUAUACUCUCUUAAUUACUAUUUAUAACAAUUUUCUAUGAGCUUUCUGAACAAAACUUUCAAGAUUAUUUUGGAAUAUUCAAGUUUUUGCUUUUUAAGUGCACUUUUAAAUAAUCUUAUCUAAUCUGAGUGUUCCUUCUAAUGGCAAAUGGAAUUCCCCUGAGGCUGGCAGCAGUUUGGUAGGACCCAUAGCCACAAAUGGAGUGCAACCCACAUUACUCUCUGACUAUCUCUGACUAUAAAAUGGAUUGUGACUGUAUUUUGUCUGACCAUUUUUAGGGACCUCUAACCUGACGUUUAUUAAGCCAAGCCCUCAGGACAUUAAACGAACUUGGUAAAAUCUUUUUUUUGCUGUUCUUUGUAAAUAUUUACAGCUUCCAGAACCUUUAGCUUUUGAGCAAUUGUGCUGGAAGUUGGCGAGCUCAACUCUUUAAAAAUUUCUUUGUUACCUUGCUCUGAGAAAGCAACUCCACUGUGGCCACUGUAAUUUCAAAUUAUCCUGGGUUAUCUUGCUAGCCAUUAACAGCUAUCCUUAUUUUGUUAAGCACUUUCAAGUCACAGCAUGAAGCCAGCCAGAGUUUGGAGUGAGGCUGCCCAUUUCAGAACUGGUCAUCUUUUAGAAGCUUGCUUUCCCAGUUUUCUUUUAGUUUUGUUUUGCUAUAAAAUCUGAACAAUUCCUAGGGACAGUACAGUGGGUCAGAAAUGUGCUGCUUGUGAGUGUUACUCCCUAAAGAAAGGUUGUAAACACUCUCUUACAUGCCUUGGUUUCUCCCACUGGCAGCCUAAAACUGCCAUGUGGGUUCAGAGCUUGCUUGACCAACUCUCAUAUAAGCUUCCCUGGAUGGGUCUUUAAUUAAUUAACAUGAGUGACAGCAGAGUUCCCUAUGGGACCAAUACACGUUGUGAGGAUUUGACCCUCCAACACUCCUGCUAAGGUUCUCAGUCACCUGAGAAUGCCUUUCAGCCAGGAGGAGCAACAUCCCUUUUCUUCGGAACUGAACACAUUCAGUAUCUCAUUUCUCCAUCAAGCAGUUUGUCCAGACUUACUUUAUAUAAACAAAAUUAUUUACAAUUUAAAGUUAAAUUAAAAAGAUUAGCCUUCAACAUUCACUCCAAAGUUCCCUCUAUGCUCCCUUGGCCUAGGAAAUUCCUCCCAGGUUUUCUCUUUCCUGGUAAUUCCCCCUAGGUUCCUCUUACCUAGGGCAUGUACUGGUACCCCCUUGAGACACCAAGUCUUAAGGUUUGGAACUGCUCAUAUAAACUCUGGAACAUUGACUUAAAAUGAGGUGGUUCAGGUUUCAGGAGAACUCAACAGGGUCACCUGAAGAAUACAAUGAUCUGGGGGGCUCAAUGGGCUCCUAUUUGUACCCAAUGAUAGUUCAGUGUAGAUUCCAGGUGGGCUCUCGUGGUUUUCUCUGAAUUUCUGCUGCAACUAUGCCAAGAAGUGUUGUCACAAAUAAUCUAUAACCAACUUAUAAAUCAAAAUUUGCGGGAGUUUAUUAUGAGCCAGAGUGAAGAUUAUGACCCAGGAAGGCCUUAGAAGGCAUUCCAGAGAAGCAUGGGUUUCAGCACAGUCUUUCAUCUUUUAUAAAAACGAAGAUACAUUAAACACACCCAGGAUAUAUUUUCAAAGAGGUAUUCAGUUGCAAAUUGGCAGGUCAACAUGACCAUGAUGUCAGGAAAGAGACUAAUCUGGGCACUAACAUUAGGGUGUUGUUACCAAUAGGGUUGUUGAUGAAAAUAAUCCAUAACCAAUCUAUAAAUGAAAAUUUGGGUGAGUUUAUUCUGAGCUUAAAUCUGAG
rnacentral:lncRNA from 1 species